AGAACUGCUAGUUUCUUAAAUGUAAUUUACUGAGUGUCUGAGAACAGUUCACAUCGUAACUAAUGGCGUCUUUAUCCUUUCUAUUCACCUGGCUUCUUCUUACAGAUUUAAGUGAUGGUGUGCUGAUCACUCAGUGGCCGAAGUUCAUCUCUGAUGUUCCAGGUUCUUCAGUGGAAAUGCACUGUUAUCAGAAUGACACAAACUAUGACUACAAAUACUGGUACAGGCAAAAACAUGGUGAAUGGCCAGUACUUAUUGGAAGCCAUAUUGUUAACUCGGGCACUACUGAAAAGGAUUUUGAGAGUGGCUUUACAGUGUCGGGUACAGAAAAGAAAUGGACCCUGAUGGUAGAGGUUAAGAAGGAAAGUAAUGCUGUGUAUCUAUGUGCUGCUAGUUUACACAAUGACUGA